rnacentral:miRNA from 1 species
CCAUCGGGAAUAUCGUGUCCGU